GACGAACGCUGGCGGCGUGCUUAACACAUGCAAGUCGAACGGACAGGCCCUGCUUUUGUGGGGUGCUCGAGUGGCGAACGGGUGAGUAACACGUGAGUAACCUGCCCUUGUCUUUGGGAUAACUCCACGAAACUGGGGCUAAUAUAGGAUAUGAGCUCCUGCUGCGUGGUGUGGGUUGGAAAGUUUCGGCGGUUGGGGCUGGAAUCGCGGCUUACCAGCUUGUUGGUGGAGUAGUGGCUUUCCAGGGGUGCGACGGGUAGCCGGCCUUAGAGGGUAACCGGCCACAUUGGGACUGAGAUACGGCCCAGACUCCUACGGGAGGCAGCAGUGGGGAGUAUUGCACAAUGGGCGGAAGCCUGAGGCAGCAACGCCGCGUGCGGGAUGACGGCCUUCGGGUUGUAAACCGCUUUCGCCGUAGACGAAGCGUGAGUGACGGUAAUGGGUAAAGAAGCACCGGCUAACUACGUG
rnacentral:rRNA from 1 species